CCCUGAUUUUUACCCUACGAUUCCACUUCAUUUGCAUCAUGUUUAUAUUUACUAACUCUUAAUUCAAAAUUACAAAAAAAUGCAUUCAUAUUCAUUUUGCGCAUUUUUGAUAGAACUUUCAGUUUAACAGUAUUUUUAUUCAUUGAUACUAACCUUGUGCGGUUUUACAAUUUUAAUUUUAAUUCGAUUUAAUCCUUUAAAUUGAAUUUUUAUUAAAAUUUAAAAUCAAUUUUUCUUUUAUUAUAUUUUUGUGUGUUCUGUCAUCUUAUUUUAUUUAGGUGUAAUUAAAGAUUCAUUUUGGGUCCAAGAUUUAAUUCAAAUGAAGACCCAUAUACAAAGUCUUUGGUCCAAUUCAUUUUGCUGCAAGAUUUUUAAUGACACUUUUUGUCCAAAGCCCAUAUUAUUUUGAGAGAAAAAAAUUGGGACCACACACAAUGCUUCACACGGUUUUCUUGCUCAGUACAGCAAAACAAAUUCGCACCACCAUGUCCAUCCUCAUCCUUACUAAUUGUACCAGAAAAACAGAAGAAAACAAAAACUCAGUACCAUUCCACUACUCCACUACCCUGCAAAUUCCAAUUCCACUACCAACAAAUCUGUACCAAGAUCAGAAAAUGUUCCCCUUUGAUCUUAUCCAAUUCCCUCAAGCAAUUCUCUCUUCUACCCUCAUUCAAUUUCAUCUAUAAAACCACACUUUCACCAACAGCAAAGGGAGGAAGAAAUUUGCAAAGAAACUCUGCUCAAAUAUCUCUAGAACUCUUCCUCCAAACCUCAAAAAUUUGAAAAAAAAGCCAAAAAGAAACCUUCAUAAUCUGAACCUGCUCCACACACCAUACAAAUCCAUCGUAUUCCUUCAUCAUCAUUUCACAGUUUCACAAUCUGCAUAACUAAUCUCCAUCAUCCUUCAACUUCCUGCACAAAAUGGACUAACCUAUCACUACAUAUUAACCUUCAUCCAACACCUCAUAAAACUCCAUAUGUUCAUCAGCUUUUCACCUUCAUUUACUCAAAACUAAUCGAUCCACACCAAGCUUUAACCCACCCUCUAAAACUUUCAAACUGUUCUUCACACCUUCAUAUCACCAUUUUGUUUCCUUCAUCACACCACCAACUCGCUCAUACCAUCUUCAUCCACCUUGUUCAAGCACAACAGAACCAAUAAUCUUCCAUUCCUUUUCAUCGACCAAAUCAUACACAUCACAAACCUUCAACAGAGCAAACUCACAAACCUGCAUCAACGAAACCAUCAACAACAACACUGACGCAACCUUCACGGUCCACUCACAAAUUUCCUUCAACCAUCAUCAUCACCGACGAAUACAACUUCGACGAGAAAGAGCAGAGCUGAAGAGGAAUCAAAAACAAAUUAUACCAGCGUGGACCUUCACCUCGUUAACGUACGAGUUGGUAUUGAGGCGUAUUUGGAGCAUGAGCAAUAACGUGGCGAAGACACGGCUUCAAACGCGCGAUUUUGAGCGGCGGAAUCAAUUCAUUCGGCGAAUAAAGCUCAAAACCAAAUAAUAAUAAAUCACCAAUUUGGUUGAUAUGUUGUCAUUUUUAGAUAGAGCAUGAAAUAAGCUUUUCAACGCUUCGAACCGGGCGUAAAUCGGAGUUACGGUUCUCAAGAUAUGACCAAAACAAGAUUUGCUGUUCUGUUGAGCGGGCUAAGCGGGCUUGACCGCGCUAAGCGCGGUCUGGGAGCAUUUUUGAGCAAGUUUGGCAGAGAGUUGGGCGCUUAGCGCGGGUUUUUGGCGCUAAGCGCGGUCUGGCGGCUUAAGAACAAUAAAAAACAGCCCGCUUAGCGCGGUGGGCGCGCUUAGCGCGGUCCGCGACUUCAGUUUUGGUAUAUAUGUUGUAAAAUCAUAUUUUUUAGGUAUGUUUUGGGUAUUUUUGAACCCCAACUCAUCAACCUUCAUUUUUUGGUAGAUUGAGCUUAGAAAACAACAUUUGUGGCUUGUAAUCGGAAGAUUCUUGGUCGGGAGCUCGAUUGAUCGUGAUUGACACUGCGAAAGAUUUGGUUUUCUUCUCCUCCUCUUCUCUUUGUAACCACUUUUGUUGGGUUUGUUUGUAAGUUUACUCUAAACACAUGGAUGUUUGUUACUCUUUGUACUAGUUGUAUAAUAUAUUUGCUUUACAAA